rnacentral:rRNA from 1 species
CAAGUCUUGACAUCCCUCUGACCGGUACGUAACGGUACCUUUCCUUCGGGACAGAGGAGACAGGUGGUGCAUGGUUGUCGUCAGCUCGUGUCGUGAGAUGUUGGGUUAAGUCCCGCAACGAGCGCAACCCCUAUCCUUAGUAGCCAGCGGAUGAUGGGCACUCUAAGGAGACUGCCGGGGAUAAACCGGAGGAAGGCGGGGAUGACGUCAAAUCAUCAUGCCCCUUAUGAUUUGGGCUACACACGUGCUACAAUGGCGUAAACAAAGGGAAGCGAGCCCGCGAGGGGGAGCAAAUCCCAAAAAUAACGUCCCAGUUCGGACUGCAGUCUGCAACCCGACUCCAGAAGCUGGAAUCGCUAGUAAUCGCGAUCAGAAGCCGCA